CACAUCUAAGGAAGGCAGCAGGCGCGCAAAUUACCCAAUCCUGACUCAGGGAGGUAGUGACAAGAAAUAACAAUAAACCGGCUUAUGCCGGUUUAAUUGGAAUGAGUACAAUUUAAACAUCUUAACGAGGAACAAUUGGAGGGCAAGUCUGGUGCCAGCAGCCGCGGUAAUUCCAGCUCCAAUAGCGUAUACUAAAGUUGUUGCAGUUAAAAAGCUCGUAGUUGGAUUUCUGUGGGGACGGAGCGGCCGGCCGCACAUCGCGGUUCGAGCUAGCGCUUUCCCUACAUCCUGCCGCGAACCGUGCUACCAUUAGUUUGGUGGCGCCGGGGAUCGGCUCGAUUACUUUGAGAAAAAUAGAGUGUUCAAAGCAGGCCACAUGCCUUGAAUAAGUUAGCAUGGAAUAAUAACUAAGGACUUCGGUUCUAUUUUGUUGGUGUUCGGGACUGAAGUAAUGAUUGAUAGGGACAGUUGGGGCGGUCUGUAUUCCAAAGCGAGAGGUGAAAUUCUUAGACCUUCGGAAGACAAACAGCUGCGAAAGCGUUCCGCAAGGAUGUUCCCUUUGAUCAAGAACGAAAGUUGGGGGAUCGAAGACGAUCAGAUACCGUCGUAGUCUCAACUAUAAACUAUACCAGCUAGGGAUCGGCCAACGUUAUUUUAUACCGACUUGGUCGGCACCUUAUGAGAAAUCAAAGCAUCUGGGUUCCGGGGGGAGUAUGUCGCAAGGCUGAAACUUAAAGGAAUUGACGGAAGGGCACCACCAGCCGUGGAGCCUGUGGCUUAAUUUGACUCAACACGGGAAAACUUACCAGGUCCAGACAUAGUAAGGAUUGACAGAUUGAUAGCUCUUUCUUGAUUCUGUGGGUGGUGGUGCAUGGCCGUUCUUAGUUGGUGGAGUGAUUUGUCUGGUUAAUUCCGUUAACGAACGAGACCCCAGCCUGCUAAAUAGCGCGCGUGAGCUUUGCUCGCGGCGAGCUUCUUAGAGGGACUCUGAUGCGCGAUAGCACAUGGAAGUUUGGGGCAAUAACAGGUCUGUGAUGCCCUUAGAUGUUCUGGGCCGCACACGGGCUACACUGGCGCCUGCAACGAGCAUAUCAGCUGGCCCGAGAGGGUCUUGGCUAAUCUUUUGAACCGGCGCCGUGCUUGGGAUUGACCUUUGCAAUUGUUGGUCAUGCAACGAGGAAUGCCUUGUAAACGCGAGUCAUCAGCUCGCAUUGAAUACGUCCCUGCCCUUUGUACACACCGCCCGUCGCUCCUACCGAUGAAUGUUCCGAUGAAAUUUUCGGAGAGCACCUGUGAACUUGGCUCUGCCUUGCGAACGGGAGGCUCAAAGUCACUUAAAUCUGAACAUUUCGAGG
rnacentral:rRNA from 1 species